rnacentral:misc_RNA from 1 species
GGUUUACUGUGUAUAUCCAUAAAGUUGUAAACUGUAAAUAAAACCCCAUCCUGCAAAUCAUAAUACUUCUUAAUUAUGAUCGUUUAAAACUGGGCCAUUCCUCUGUUUGGAAAGGGAAGGUAUUUCGCAGCCAAAAAGAAAAGAAUACUUUUAUUAUGAUUCUAACUUCCUGCACAGGAAGAUUUUACAAGCGAUGAAUAUAAAUCCAAGCAGAUAAUGAGUACAUCAGAGGAAAUUCCGCCAAGUGCAAAAGACUGGGUAAAAUCGUCCGCGUUAUAUCCAUUCUCUCCAUUUUGCUGACACUUACCAUUAUUGUUGUCGUCAGUAUCGUGUUCAACAUCUAGAUGUGUCGUCUGCUUCCUACUCCACGUGACUUACAAUCUACUGACGUCUGCUUCCUAUACUCCACGUGACUUACAAUCUACCUCAGGGAUCGACUCUCACCAUAACUUAUUAUGACGGAGUCCUGCCUACAACGGAAAUAUUUUUUUUCCGUGAAUGAUGCGUGUUUAAAUUUCAAAAUAUUCAUUUGUCUUCCGUAUUAUUUGUGGUUGUUCCCUUUUUUCUUACACUUUUGACAAACUGUCAGUGACAAGAAAAUGAUCAAUUUAUCCAUAUUUGUUUUCUUAUGCACUUUUAAACCUGAACAUGUUUAUGUAACAAUAUACGUUAAAAGUUGGUCAAUAAACAACUUU